rnacentral:lncRNA from 1 species
GAUUGGACUUAGAGAUAAAAAAAAAUGAUGAAUAAGGCAAAAGCUUGAGAACAAAUGAAAGUUUUGGUGAACAAAAAAAGAAAAGCUCCAAGGAAACAUGGAUAGCUCUACUUACUUUGUUGGUUGUUGUCGUGCAUGGGCCCUCCUCUCUUCACCUAUGAUAUCUCCACAUUUCCUACUUUAUAGUCAUACACUUGUAAUAUGACACCUUUGUUUUUAUACACUUGUAAUAUUUAUAUUAAAAGUAUUUGUUUUCAUUUUGUCGUUUAUAUAUAGAUAACUAGUAAAUUUGUUGUUCAUAGUAUAUGGCAAGAGGAGGUAAUAAAACCGCGGAGUGGGAUAUUGCAUGUCUUUCAGCAUGCCGGCUUCGGAAAUGAGUUUGGUUUGAUUAGGAUAGUGCUAUUAAGCUAUCUUGUCUUCAGAUUGGAUUUUGGUUUUAGCCUUUUAGGUGGAGCGUCCUUGUUUAGAUUUGAGGAUAGUCCUUGAGCAGACCGAGAGGAAUUAUUCGAUUUUCAGGUAGCCGAAUAAAAAAAAAAU